CCCUAGAUUUAGGAUCUAGUUAAAUAGAAAUUUUUCUAUAGGUAGUAAAGAGUUAGUGUCUUGCUAAUUGUUUU
rnacentral:tRNA from 1 species